rnacentral:rRNA from 1 species
AUUGAACGCUGGCGGCAGGCCUAACACAUGCAAGUCGAGCGGAUGAAGGGAGCUUGCUCCUGGAUUCAGCGGCGGACGGGUGAGUAAUGCCUAGGAAUCUGCCUGGUAGUGGGGGAUAACGUCCGGAAACGGGCGCUAAUACCGCAUACGUCCUGAGGGAGAAAGUGGGGGAUCUUCGGACCUCACGCUAUCAGAUGAGCCUAGGUCGGAUUAGCUAGUUGGUGGGGUAAAGGCCUACCAAGGCGACGAUCCGUAACUGGUCUGAGAGGAUGAGCAGUCACACUGGAACUGAGACACGGUCCAGACUCCUACGGGAGGCAGCAGUGGGGAAUAUUGGGCAAUGGGCGAAAGCCUGCUACAGCCAUGCCGAGUGUGUGAAGAAGGUCUUCGGAUUGUAAAGCACUUUAAGUUGGGAGGAAGGACAGUAAGUUAAUACCUUGCUGUUUUGACGUUACCAACAGAAUAAGCACCGGCUAACUUCGUG